GAUGAACGCUGACAGAAUGCUUAACACAUGCAAGUCAACUUGAAUUUGGGUUUUUAACUUAGGUUUGGGUGGCGGACGGGUGAGUAACGCGUAAAGAACUUGCCUCACAGCUAGGGACAACAUUUGGAAACGAAUGCUAAUACCUAAUAUUAUGAUAAUAGGGCAUCCUAUAAUUAUGAAAGCUAUAAGCGCUGUGAGAGAGCUUUGCGUCCCAUUAGCUAGUUGGAGAGGUAACGGCUCACCAAGGCGAUGAUGGGUAGCCGGCCUGAGAGGGUGAUCGGCCACAAGGGGACUGAGACACGGCCCUUACUCCUACGGGAGGCAGCAGUGGGGAAUAUUGGACAAUGGACCAAGAGUCUGAUCCAGCAAUUCUGUGUGUACGAUGAAGUUUUUCGGAAUGUAAAGUGCUUUCAGUUGGGAAGAAAGAAAUGACGGUACCAACAGAAGAAGUGACGGCUAAAUACGUGCCAGCAGCCGCGGUAAUACGUAUGUCACGAGCGUUAUCCGGAUUUAUUGGGCGUAAAGCGCGUCUAGGUGGUUAUGUAAGUCUGAUGUGAAAAUGCAGGGCUCAACUCUGUAUUGCGUUGGAAACUGUAUAACUAGAGUACUGGAGAGGUAAGCGGAACUACAAGUGUAGAGGUGAAAUUCGUAGAUAUUUGUAGGAAUGCCGAUGGGGAAGCCAGCUUACUGGACAGAUACUGACGCUGAAGCGCGAAAGCGUGGGUAGCAAACAGG
rnacentral:rRNA from 1 species